CUCCGGAAGUGCGGAUCCCAGCGGUGGUCGUGUAGCUGAGCAGGCCUGGGGCUUGGUUCUAUGUCCCUGUGGCUAUGUUUCCAGUGUCCUCUGGGUGUUUCCAAGAGCAACAAGAAACGAAUAAAUCUCUGAUGAAGAGAUACCAUUUGACAUUUUAGAGAUGGCUGCAUGCAAACUCUUAAAACAUUUGAGCUGCUGCAGUCUCGCCAGAUCUUCAGGCUCUGUCUCUGAUUCUAGUGCUCUUGUUAUUUCCACCAUAUCUGCAGUUACUUCCUCCACAGAAGUCGUGAACCCCUGUGUCAUCAGUGAGGGUUGGAAUAAUCUUCCCAACUUCUCUCUCUCUCUCUUUUAUUUUUUUGAGAUGAAGUCUUGCCUGGGCUGGAGUGCAGUGAUGCGAUCUCAGCUCACUGCAACCUCCACCUCCCGUGUUCAAACAAUUCUCCUGCCUCAGCCUCCCAAGUGUUUGGGAUUACAGUCACCCCCGACCAGGC
rnacentral:lncRNA from 1 species